AUUUAGUCUAGCCGCAGAUAUGCAGGAUGUAGGAAAAGAAACUCCGACAAAACUUAAUGACCAAUACGUAUAAUUCCACUUGAAAACAUCAAGAUACAAAUAAUAAAUUUAGAACCACCAUUCGUCUCCGAAAACAUUGCCGCGCUCUAAUGACAUCUGUCAAAGACAAUCCCUUAAAUCUAAACUUGAACAAAAUAGUUUGACAAUAGUAAAUAUGUUUAGAAACACAUUUUUAAAAAUAUGUCUAAAUAAUAAAUACAUAACAACUCUGCUUGCUUUUUAUAAUUAACUUUGUAUUUUAAUUAGUACAAUGUCAUAGACAAUUUACAAUAGUUUAUGUAGGUAGGCUGUACAAUAAUUGUUAAAAUGACAACUAAGCUUACAGCUCGGCCUUCCUGCUAGCGCGAGUCCCUUCGCGAAUUGUUUUAACAUAUUGUAAAUGAUCAGAUUACCUACCUAAUAAGUUUAAAGUUAAAUUAUGAAUGAAAUGAAAUAAAUGUAAGAUUUCCUUAGAUCCGAAAUAAAAUGUAGCAACAAUAUAAUUCUUUCAAACGUAAAAUAAAGCGUAGAUGGAGAAGAAUAAAUCUUCUCGUCGAUACCACUUCUGAACUUUAGUCUAGCCGCAGAUAUGCAGGAUGUAGGAAAAGAAACUCCGACAAAACUUAAUGACCAAUACGUAUAAUUCCACUUGAAAACAUCAAGAUACAAAUAAUAAAUUUAGAACCACCAUUCGUCUCCGAAAACAUUGCCGCGCUCUUAUGACAUCUGUCAAAGACAAUCCCUUAAAUCUAAACUUGAACAAAAUAGUUUGACAAUAGUAAAUAUGUUUAGAAACACAUUUUUAAAAAUAUGUCUAAAUAAUAAAUACAUAACAACUCUGCUUGCUUUUUAUAAUUAA